UGGGGAAUUUUGGACAAUGGGGGAAACCCUGAUCCAGCCAUGCCGCGUGAGUGAAGAAGGCCUUCGGGUUGUAAAGCUCUUUCAGACGGAAAGAAACGGUUACGGCUAAUACCCGUGGCUAAUGACGGUACCGUCAGAAGAAGCACCGGCUAACUACGUGCCAGCAGCCGCGGUAAU
rnacentral:rRNA from 1 species